CGUGUCCAGGGGGCGGCUAGUAGCGUGUGCCACCGUGGAAAUAUGUACAGACAUAAAGAAGACGCCCUCAAGAAAGGCCUGAGUCCAGACCGAGACCAAGAGAAAUGUAAACAAACGCACCAGUCUGACUUGAUAUAGGAGUGAAUUUGUUGCUUUUUAAAGCGGCAGUCGGUCUGUACAUGUGUGAGGUGGCGAGGGGUGUCGCCAGGGGGCGGCUAGUAGCGUCUGCCACCAGGGAAAUAUGUAAAAACAUAAAAAAGACGCUUCUCAAGAAAGAGAGGGGCAGUCGGUCUGUACAUGCGUGAGGUGGCGAGAGGCGUGUCCAGGGGGCGGCUAGUAGCGUGUGCCACCGUGGAAAUAUGUACAGACAUAAAGAAGACGCCCUCAAGAAAGGCCUGAGUCCAGACCGAGACCAAGAGAAAUGUAAACAAACGCACCAGUCUGACUUGAUAUAGGAGUGAAUUUGUUGCUUUUUAAAGCGGCAGUCGGUCUGUACAUGUGUGAGGUGGCGAGGGGUGUCGCCAGGGGGCGGCUAGUAGCGUCUGCCACCAGGGAAAUAUGUAAAAACAUAAAAAAGACGCUUCUCAAGAAAGAGAGGGGCAGUCGGUCUGUACAUGCGUGAGGUGGCGAGAGGCGUGUCCAGGGGGCGGCUAGUAGCGUGUGCCACCGUGGAAAUAUGUACAGACAUAAAGAAGACGCCCUCAAGAAAGGCCUGAGUCCAGACCGAGACCCAGAGAAAUGUAAACAAACGCACCAGUCAGACUUGAUAUAGGAGUGAAUUUGUUGCUUUUUAAAGCGGCAGUCGGUCUGUACAUGUGUGAGGUGGCGAGGGGUGUCGCCAGGGGGCGGCUAGUAGCGUCUGCCACCAGGGAAAUAUGUAAAAACAUAAAAAAGACGCUUCUCAAGAAAGAGAGGGGCAGUCGGUCUGUACAUGCGUGAGGUGGCGAGAGGCGUGUCCAGGGGGCGGCUAGUAGCGUGUGCCACCGUGGAAAUAUGUACAGACAUAAAGAAGACGCCCUCAAGAAAGGCCUGAGUCCAGACCGAGACCCAGAGAAAUGUAAACAAACGCACCAGUCAGACUUGAUAUAGGAGUGAAUUUGUUGCUUUUUAAAGCGGCAGUCGGUCUGUACAUGUGUGAGGUGGCGAGGGGUGUCGCCAGGGGGCGGCUAGUAGCGUCUGCCACCAGGGAAAUAUGUAAAAACAUAAAAAAGACGCUUCUCAAGAAAGAGAGGGGCAGUCGGUCUGUACAUGCGUGAGGUGGCGAGAGGCGUGUCCAGGGGGCGGCUAGUAGCGUGUGCCACCGUGGAAAUAUGUACAGACAUAAAGAAGACGCCCUCAAGAAAGGCCUGAGUCCAGACCGAGACCAAGAGAAAUGUAAACAAACGCACCAGUCUGACUUGAUAUAGGAGUGAAUUUGUUGCUUUUUAAAGCGGCAGUCGGUCUGUACAUGUGUGAGGUGGCGAGGGGUGUCGCCAGGGGGCGGCUAGUAGCGUCUGCCACCAGGGAAAUAUGUAAAAACAUAAAAAAGACGCUUCUCAAGAAAGAGAGGGGCAGUCGGUCUGUACAUGCGUGAGGUGGCGAGAGGCGUGUCCAGGGGGCGGCUAGUAGCGUGUGCCACCGUGGAAAUAUGUACAGACAUAAAGAAGACGCCCUCAAGAAAGGCCUGAGUCCAGACCGAGACCAAGAGAAAUGUAAACAAACGCACCAGUCUGACUUGAUAUAGGAGUGAAUUUGUUGCUUUUUAAAGCGGCAGUCGGUCUGUACAUGUGUGAGGUGGCGAGGGGUGUCGCCAGGGGGCGGCUAGUAGCGUCUGCCACCAGGGAAAUAUGUAAAAACAUAAAAAAGACGCUUCUCAAGAAAGAGAGGGGCAGUCGGUCUGUACAUGCGUGAGGUGGCGAGAGGCGUGUCCAGGGGGCGGCUAGUAGCGUGUGCCACCGUGGAAAUAUGUACAGACAUAAAGAAGACGCCCUCAAGAAAGGCCUGAGUCCAGACCGAGACCAAGAGAAAUGUAAACAAACGCACCAGUCUGACUUGAUAUAGGAGUGAAUUUGUUGCUUUUUAAAGCGGCAGUCGGUCUGUACAUGUGUGAGGUGGCGAGGGGUGUCGCCAGGGGGCGGCUAGUAGCGUCUGCCACCAGGGAAAUAUGUAAAAACAUAAAAAAGACGCUUCUCAAGAAAGAGAGGGGCAGUCGGUCUGUACAUGCGUGAGGUGGCGAGAGGCGUGUCCAGGGGGCGGCUAGUAGCGUGUGCCACCGUGGAAAUAUGUACAGACAUAAAGAAGACGCCCUCAAGAAAGGCCUGAGUCCAGACCGAGACCAAGAGAAAUGUAAACAAACGCACCAGUCUGACUUGAUAUAGGAGUGAAUUUGUUGCUUUUUAAAGCGGCAGUCGGUCUGUACAUGUGUGAGGUGGCGAGGGGUGUCGCCAGGGGGCGGCUAGUAGCGUCUGCCACCAGGGAAAUAUGUAAAAACAUAAAAAAGACGCUUCUCAAGAAAGAGAGGGGCAGUCGGUCUGUACAUGCGUGAGGUGGCGAGAGGCGUGUCCAGGGGGCGGCUAGUAGCGUGUGCCACCGUGGAAAUAUGUACAGACAUAAAGAAGACGCCCUCAAGAAAGGCCUGAGUCCAGACCGAGACCAAGAGAAAUGUAAACAAACGCACCAGUCUGACUUGAUAUAGGAGUGAAUUUGUUGCUUUUUAAAGCGGCAGUCGGUCUGUACAUGUGUGAGGUGGCGAGGGGUGUCGCCAGGGGGCGGCUAGUAGCGUCUGCCACCAGGGAAAUAUGUAAAAACAUAAAAAAGACGCUUCUCAAGAAAGAGAGGGGCAGUCGGUCUGUACAUGCGUGAGGUGGCGAGAGGCGUGUCCAGGGGGCGGCUAGUAGCGUGUGCCACCGUGGAAAUAUGUACAGACAUAAAGAAGACGCCCUCAAGAAAGGCCUGAGUCCAGACCGAGACCAAGAGAAAUGUAAACAAACGCACCAGUCUGACUUGAUAUAGGAGUGAAUUUGUUGCUUUUUAAAGCGGCAGUCGGUCUGUACAUGUGUGAGGUGGCGAGGGGUGUCGCCAGGGGGCGGCUAGUAGCGUCUGCCACCAGGGAAAUAUGUAAAAACAUAAAAAAGACGCUUCUCAAGAAAGAGAGGGGCAGUCGGUCUGUACAUGCGUGAGGUGGCGAGAGGCGUGUCCAGGGGGCGGCUAGUAGCGUGUGCCACCGUGGAAAUAUGUACAGACAUAAAGAAGACGCCCUCAAGAAAGGCCUGAGUCCAGACCGAGACCAAGAGAAAUGUAAACAAACGCACCAGUCUGACUUGAUAUAGGAGUGAAUUUGUUGCUUUUUAAAGCGGCAGUCGGUCUGUACAUGUGUGAGGUGGCGAGGGGUGUCGCCAGGGGGCGGCUAGUAGCGUCUGCCACCAGGGAAAUAUGUAAAAACAUAAAAAAGACGCUUCUCAAGAAAGAGAGGGGCAGUCGGUCUGUACAUGCGUGAGGUGGCGAGAGGCGUGUCCAGGGGGCGGCUAGUAGCGUGUGCCACCGUGGAAAUAUGUACAGACAUAAAGAAGACGCCCUCAAGAAAGGCCUGAGUCCAGACCGAGACCAAGAGAAAUGUAAACAAACGCACCAGUCUGACUUGAUAUAGGAGUGAAUUUGUUGCUUUUUAAAGCGGCAGUCGGUCUGUACAUGUGUGAGGUGGCGAGGGGUGUCGCCAGGGGGCGGCUAGUAGCGUCUGCCACCAGGGAAAUAUGUAAAAACAUAAAAAAGACGCUUCUCAAGAAAGAGAGGGGCAGUCGGUCUGUACAUGCGUGAGGUGGCGAGAGGCGUGUCCAGGGGGCGGCUAGUAGCGUGUGCCACCGUGGAAAUAUGUACAGACAUAAAGAAGACGCCCUCAAGAAAGGCCUGAGUCCAGACCGAGACCAAGAGAAAUGUAAACAAACGCACCAGUCUGACUUGAUAUAGGAGUGAAUUUGUUGCUUUUUAAAGCGGCAGUCGGUCUGUACAUGUGUGAGGUGGCGAGGGGUGUCGCCAGGGGGCGGCUAGUAGCGUCUGCCACCAGGGAAAUAUGUAAAAACAUAAAAAAGACGCUUCUCAAGAAAGAGAGGGGCAGUCGGUCUGUACAUGCGUGAGGUGGCGAGAGGCGUGUCCAGGGGGCGGCUAGUAGCGUGUGCCACCGUGGAAAUAUGUACAGACAUAAAGAAGACGCCCUCAAGAAAGGCCUGAGUCCAGACCGAGACCCAGAGAAAUGUAAACAAACGCACCAGUCAGACUUGAUAUAGGAGUGAAUUUGUUGCUUUUUAAAGCGGCAGUCGGUCUGUACAUGUGUGAGGUGGCGAGGGGUGUCGCCAGCGGGCGGCUAGUAGCGUCUGCCACCAGGGAAAUAUGUAAAAACAUAAAAAAGACGCUUCUCAAGAAAGAGAGGGGCAGUCGGUCUGUACAUGCGUGAGGUGGCGAGAGGCGUGUCCAGGGGGCGGCUAGUAGCGUGUGCCACCGUGGAAAUAUGUACAGACAUAAAGAAGACGCCCUCAAGAAAGGCCUGAGUCCAGACCGAGACCCAGAGAAAUGUAAACAAACGCACCAGUCAGACUUGAUAUAGGAGUGAAUUUGUUGCUUUUUAAAGCGGCAGUCGGUCUGUACAUGUGUGAGGUGGCGAGGGGUGUCGCCAGGGGGCGGCUAGUAGCGUCUGCCACCAGGGAAAUAUGUAAAAACAUAAAAAAGACGCUUCUCAAGAAAGGUAAG